GAUUUGCUGAAAUGUUAAGGCAUCACCUUCAGUCUUAUGCGCAGUGUACACUGGAUAGAUAUUCCAUUUCAGAGGUUCUGUAUUCCUCAGAGAAAGACAAAAAAAGAGAGGGUGUGAGGGAGAGCGAGAUUGGAAUGGAGAAAGACAUAAUGAGAGAAAGAGAAAGAGGAAGAGAGAGAGAGAGAGAGAGAGAGAGAGAGAGAGAGAGAGAGAGAGAGGCGAUUCAUCAGAAGUCUCCAGGGUAUAGCAGUGUCUCAGAGAUUUGCAAAGUGAUAUUGUAAUCAUAACGAGAGUCCACUUUCCCCGAGCCCUUGGGGAAUCCGUCUCACUGAGCGCGCUCAUGUUCACACGGCCAGAAGCGUGUCAAACAAACUCAAGUCAACACACGAGGCGUCAACACCGAUUACAUUACAUUCAUUUUACCGCUGUAAUUUAGGUGGAACAACCACGCCAUUUAGUUGUGUGUUUGCCAAAUUAAAGUCCCAAUUAACUACAAGGCAUAACCCUCCCCGAAGAAUCAUCUUAACCAUAUUUAUAAAGGCGUUUUAAUUUAGUGCACACAAGAUUAUUUUAAUUCCGUGUGUACACCAAAACGAAGGGUAAUUCAGAUGUCUUAAAUCAUAAUUAUAUACAUUUCAGUUUGGUUUCGAACUCUGUAAUUUGAUUCAUGAACCAUGCAAAUAGUGUAAUUACACGUUAGUCGCAUUAAUGGUCACUGGGAACUGGCUCACGCUCUGUCUGUGAAUGUAGCCCUCUUUUCUCUUCCGACGUCGACAUCAACCCUGCACAGCAGAGGACUGUGGCUGACUAGGCCCUGACUUGGCAAAGAGCUAUUCUGUAGUCAACUAUAAUUUGGAACAUGUCUUCGUAAAACCAUUCGGAAACAGUCUCAAAAUCAUUACACUCAAGAUCAUUAUAUCUCUAUUUAUUAUAUUUAAUAAUUAUAUUUUAUUUUACCCCUGUGUGAAGAUGCUGUACGACACGACUCAAACUCGCGUUGGUUUCCUGCCCCCCUACUGAGGCCCCCUGUGGUGCCCGACCUGCCUUUCAAUAAGACAGCACACAUCAGGAGACAGACACACACACACACACACACACACACACAUCAGGAGACUGACACACACACACACACACACACACACACACACACAUCAGGAGACUGACACACACACACACACACACACACACACACACAUCAGGAGACUGACACACACACACACACAUCAGGAGACAGACACACACACACACACAUCAGGAGACAGACACACACACACACACGCACACAUCAGGAGACUGACACACACACACAUCAGGAGACAGACACACACACACAUCAGGAGACAGACACACACACACAUCAAGAGACAGACACACACACACAUCAGGAGACAGACAUACACACACAUCAGGAGACACACUUUUGGGAAUGUAGCUUCGUUGAAGGACACCAGUAGAGGAUGAAAGCGUUUUAAAUAUAUAAUCAAACUAAACACCGUUUGAAGGCAUUCACAAAUAGUGCUGUUGAUUCAGAACAAAAGUUGCAGAGAUGAGUGUUACUGUUGCCAAGUAUUUGGCAGGUUUAAGAAAGAAUGCCAGCCUUGUCGCCACCAAACAAACUCUCUGUCUCUGGUCGUCAGAGAGCUGUAGUUGUAUCUGGCUGUAGUAGACUAGUAAUGCCCCCUGACCACAACAGAGAAACUUGUGUGAGAUGUCAGUUAGAGGGGCCUGAACAUCCCUUGUAUACACAGGUUCUGAUGGAUAGAUGGGUCUCCGUCCGCACUUUGUUCUUUUAACCGUCCCGAGCUGAUUAGGCACCGCAUUCCUUUCAAUCUCCAUCAAGUGCCACUCUCUAGCGUUCUACUUCACUUUUUGCCGUCGAGAGAUAUUAAUCAGAUUUUGAUCUAUGUAAAUGUCAUUUUUUUUGCUAGAUGCCAGAGAAAUAUCUCUCCAACGUAGACACGUUGAAUCUAAUUUAGCCGAACAUCCACCUCGCGGAUAAGCACCGGGCUCAUCUCUAUGCAGGAAGUGGCGUCUCCUUCUCAUUCGUUUUCUGGCCGAUGUUGUGCGCGUGUGAUGAAUCUCUGGACUCUCCUAAUGACAUGUCACUCGCUGAUGAAACCAUUAAAGGCACCUUGCCUAAUUUCCGCCGUGAUGAAAGAAGCGAGCCAGUUUGGAAAUUUAUGAUUUUAUUUAUCUGAGAUCACCAAAGAGCCGGACAUAAUUCAGCAGCACCAUCAGAUUUCUCUCCUUCAGAUUUGCUGUGUACCAUCUGAGGUGCUGUUGAUGAAGGAAGCUAUUCUACAUUCAGUGGUGCUCAGACAGGGAGAAGCUAAAGUAGAUGUGAUCACUCAGAGUCAGGUUUAGUGCUCGGAGUAGCUGUGGAUUUUAUUACAAACCUGGAGAUCUUCAGAUUUCACUGGAACAUGAAAAUACAGUAUGCCAACUCUCCCCUCAUGCAGAUAUAUUCACAAUAUGCACUGGGUACAAAUACAUUGGAUAGUUGCUAUGACGACCACCAUAUCAUAUGAUUGGAUAUAAGGAUUUUAUGAUGAAACAGGGAUGAUUUAUAAGGGCAGGUUAACACAAAAUGCAGCAUACAAAAAUAUUCUUAUGGCUGAACAGUUAAACUAUUUACCUUUGGCAAGUGCUCCUGUAACACUGAGAGAUAGUAUAUAUAUAUUCUAUAUAUAUAUAUAUAUAGAAGUAUUGCAUCUUGCUUUUGUUUCAUUGGCGAACACUUGUGGACAGCAUCUAGUUUUUGAACAUGAAAUUCUAAUCAGUGAUUGAUUGACUGGGCAUAUUUUGAAGUGCAUUAUCUCUUUUAAAUGUGAUAUGAACCUCGCAGAUUCUGAUGUUUAUUAUAAAUGUAUAAAAAAAUAAUGUUAUGCUUACUUUGCGUUUGUUUUCUAUGGCUAGGAUUGUACAGGUGUGCUGUAAAUAUAUGUAUAUUUAAUAAAAACAGAGGACAUUUUUACAGCUUUAUGUGCAAAGUGCCUGUCACUCGUCUCUUUGUAAGUAAUUAUAAGACACUGUUGAUGUUUUUUGUUUUUGUUUGUUUGUUUUUUUUCACAGUAAAGUAAAUUAAGUUUAAUCAGAGAAUAUGACUCACAGUGAACUCACACGACAAAGAGUUCUCAUAUCCCGCUCGUUCUUCUGCAUUGUUGCUGUUCCUUUGAAAAGAGCCCUGGGGAAACUUGUCUUCCUUGUCCUUACCCUAGCUGACUGUCUCUAGGUAGGGAGGCGGAUUGGACCAAACAGGCCCAGUGGAAGUAGAAGAGAAGGUUUAGCGAGCUUAGGGGUUCUGGGCCUGAGCCUGAGCCAUCUGGUCCGGAAGAGAGAACCGGCUCUGAGUCCCCGCUCUGAUAGAGGGAGGUGUUCAUGACUUCAUCACUUCACUCCGAGGAGCCAAAGGAAAUGAAUGCAUAAGAACAGGAAGUUAAUUAACAAAUAAAUAGGAUGACUGAGAUGCUUUGAAAAAAAAAAAG
ensembl:lncRNA